rnacentral:sRNA from 2 species
ACGCGCAGAGCGCCGAAGGCAGGAGCGGGGGACCCAAGGUAAGCGCCGGUCCCGGUCGCUGACGGACGGUUCGGUGCACGAGGAGUGCGCCGGAACCGGACGCCGGUGGGCCGACCGGCUUGGGGUGGAGCCGCGCGCAAGGACGCGCGGCCGGGCAACUCACACGGCCCGAACCCGACAGCUCACCUCGUAGGCGUCGGUGAGGAGACCU